GCACUGGAAUGUCAAGCCUGUCUGAAGGGCAUCUGGUUCAGCCGUUUUGAGGUGGAGGGAGGGGAGGGGGAGACCCUCAGGGAGGGAGCAAAGAGGAAACCGCAUCAUCGAGAUGAGCACUUCCUGUUGGUGUGAACAUCUCUCUCCUCUUCCACCCGGAAGAUCCGAGAGGCCGCGGUGGGUCUGAGGCUGAUGUGCAGAUUCGUCCACUGGCCUCUUUCCCACUCCAGUGGAGCAAACAGUGUUGCAGAUGGGGAAGGUGGGCUUCGACAGCACCCAGUUAAGCUGAUGGUCACACUUGACACCCUGGGAUGAAGCAAAGCAGGCCACCUGGCAGGUGAUCCAUCCCAAGGGCGCCCAGAAGGCCCAUUCCCGGCCCUGGGCUGCAUUACACUCCCAGGCAGGAGAACGUCUUCUUGCUAUGUUGCCAGCCACCAGCAUGUGUAGACUCGUAUCCUUUUCAUUAACCACAAGGGCAAGGUCAGCCAUGUGAGCAAGCAGGGUAGUGGCUUGUGGUCGGUCAUGGGGGAAGAGGGUGAUUUCAUGGAAACCAAGAAGCCUUCUUGUUCCAGGAACAUUACACCAACCUGCCAGCUGAACCCUGCAAAUCCACAGCUCCUUGAUUGGCUAAGCAGGGGCUUUGAACUAACUCCAUUAUUCAAAGUGAAGACACCCCUGGGGAGAGACAGCAGCAGCAGUACCAGAUAAAACUUCGUAUCAAUAAUUUAGCAGAGAGGAGAUUUUGAUAGGAUACAGGAAAAGGGAUCCAGAAAUGAAAUAAAGUGUGCAAGGCAAUUGUUCCUUCCUUCCUUGUUUUUGCUGAGUUCGUGAGCCUAGGUGCAAGGUGAGGAAAGGUCUUGUAUUCUCCCCGGCUCCCUGGCUUCCCCUCCCCUACAGGACGAACCUCCUGCUUCAUAAUGGGCAACAAGCUAGACCAUGGAUGAGACUCUGUGGGCGUGUCUCUUACACAAAGGGGCGGGGCCCACCUACCACCGCCCACAAAUGACCAAACAGACACAAAGGAGUGCUGACCUAGGAUCGUGAGGGAAGGGUGAGGUUAUAGAGACUUCAGGAGCUCCAGAAAAGCAUGGAGCUCGAGGCAGGAAGAAAAGGAGGGCACUAGAUGGGAAGAAAGGAAGCCAGACGGGAAUUUUUGAAGAGGUAGAUUCCAACAACCUAUUUACAAGUCACAUAUCCACUCUUUCAAGAAGUAACAGUUGAAAUACAUAAAAUACCAUCAAAAUCCCCUGUUUACUGUUAGCUCCAAUGAAUAGAGGAGGACAGGAUUUGGCAACAAGGUUUUAUGAAGUUCCUUUUGUUUCUGUCACUUAACUCCGUGCUUACAGGAAUAAAACAGAGACUAGUGAGCACACUACAGAGGAAAUACGUAUCCUAUUUCAAGGUCAACUACUAAUGGCUAGAAAGAGUUUUACUGUGUCCCUCCAGAGAUGUCAAAACUUAAAUAAUGGAAGCAGAAUUUCCUUGAUUCUUCUCUGAUGGAGAGUUUUUCUUAAUGACUGGUGUUUUACAGCUUGGGUAGUCUGAACUGAUCAUGAAAACACAUCAAAAGUAUGGAAUCAAUACUAAAAGUUUUUAAAAGUACCACCAGGCAAAGACGGGUCUGUCUACUGCGCUGUCUCGGAACUAGAACACAAAACCAAAUUAUCUUUACCUACGAUGGAAAUCACGCCAAAUAUCUUCCCUUCGGUCAGCCCAUGAUCUAAAUCGGACUGCCUCCCCUCCCCCUAAGUUUGUAAAGAGUCCCCCACAGCUGCUACUGGUAUGGAAGAAUAUUAUCCUAUAGCGUCGAUGUCAUCAUCGUUUAGAAGCCAGGUCACAGUUUUAAAACCAGGAAGCAUCUGUAGCAUAUAAAAUUACUUUUAACUUCUGAGGCUUCCAGGCCUAGAGCCAAAAGGUAAUGAGUUACCUCAAAAAUAUUUCUUCACCAGAAAGAAAUUAUUUGGGGGGUAAGGGGUGAAACAAUAGCAAUUCAAACCACCUUACUCAGGGGUGAAGAGUAACCAUCCAUCGCGCUUGCUUUCCAGCUCUUCAUUCUCUGUUCCCUGCCUUUUCCUCCAAGACCAAAAUUCUUUGCAUGCCCCAAUUCUGGAUCCUCUCUACAACAUUCCCCAAAGGCCUGCUCUUCAGCUCUGGGGGCUAAAGGCAUUCCGAGUCCACAAGCUUUUCAUUAUUGCUUAUAUUUCUUUUCUGCUGACCAUGAUUGCACAUGAACUUGCCAACAAUCUCUACUCAGGAGAGAGAUUCAAUUCUUUUUACGAAGAAAAAUCAUUUGGUACUUUAUUUCUCCAUGAAGCUCUCAUAAUCGAAAGGAGUUCAAUGCAUCCAGCAAGUGACUCAUUUUCCUUAAUGGCUUUCAGACACUGGCAUGCACAUUCCAACAGCCAGAGCAGGGAAGGUAGGACCGCCCCAGGUUAGACAAGGGAGGCUCCAUAUCAGCGUGCCCGGUGGAACAGGCCAGCCGGGAGCAGGGGGCUGCUUUGGAAAGGGCAUAGGCUUGGAAGCAGAUCGUCCUCGAUACACUGUCCACCAGAUAAGUUAGCCUGACUGAGCCUCAGGCUUCUCAUCUACGAAAUGGGAAUACCACCGCAUAGAGUUUCAGUGGGGAAUAAAUGAAAUAACUCUCACGCCUGGCACAUGGUCCAAUGUCAAUAAAUACUUCUGCUUUGCUCAUU